AACGAACGCUGGCGGCAUGCCUAACACAUGCAAGUCGAACGAGACCUCCGGGUCUAUUGGCGCACGGGUGCGUAACGCGUGGGAACCUUCCCUUAGGUUCGGAAUAACUCCCCGAAAGGGGUGCUAAUACCGGAUAAUGUCUUCGGACCAAAGAUUUAUCGCCUUUGGAUGGGCCCGCGUUGGAUUCGCUAGUUGGUAGGGUAAAAGCCUACCAAGGCGUCGAUCCAUAGCUGGUCUGAGAGGAUGAUCAGCCACACUGGGACUGAGACACGGCCCAGACUCCUACGGGAGGCAGCAGUGGGGAAUAUUGGACAAUGGGCGAAAGCCUGAUGCAGCAAUGCCGGGUGAGUGAUGAAGGCAGUAGGGUUGUAAAGCUCUUUUACCCGGGAUGAUAAUGACAGUACCGGGAGAAUAAGCUCCGGCUAACUACGUG
rnacentral:rRNA from 1 species